GUCAAAGGCUUGCGUUCAGGCUUCCGGUACGGCAGUAGGAUCCCUGGCGUCAGACAUAUCCGGGAAGGGGUAUGGAAUCGGAACGGAUGCGUAAAGAAAGCGCUCCACAAUAACGCAAGCC
ncrna:unclassified sequences DTF3268 RNA